UUUUGGGGGUCUCAACCCCUUCAGAGCCGUAGCUAACGCGUUAAGUAUCCCGCCUGGGGAGUACGAUCGCAAGGUUGAAACUCAAAGGAAUUGACGGGUUCCCGCACAAGCGGUGGAGCAUGUGCUUUAAUUCGAGGCAACGCGAAGGACCUUACCUGGGCUUGACAUGGGAGCUCUCCCUUCGGGGGGGGUCAGCUAUGUGAAAGCAUGGUUAGUCCACACAGGUGUUGCAUGGCUGUCGUCAGCUCGUGUCGUGAGAUGUUCGGUUAAGUCCGGCAACGAGCGCAACCCUCGCUGUCAGUUACCAACGGAUAAUGCCGGGGACUCUGACAGGACUGCCGGUGAUAAACCGGAGGAAGGCGGGGAUGAUGUCAAGUCAUUAUGACCCUUACGCCCAGGGCUAGACACGUGCUACAAUGGUCGGUACAAUGAGCAGCGAGACCGCGAGGUGGAGCAAAUCUCAAAAAGCCGGCCCUAGUACGGAUUGCAGUCUGCAACUCGACUGCAUGAAGCUGGAAUCGCUAGUAAUCGCGUAUCAGCAUGACGCGGUGAAUACGUUCCCGGGAAUUGUACACACCGCCCGUCAAACCAUGGGAAUCGGUAGCACUCGAAGUCGCUGACCCAACUUUAUUGAGGGAGGCGCCGAAAGUGAGAUUGGUGACUGGGGUUAAGUCGUAACAAGGUAGCCG
rnacentral:rRNA from 1 species